AUGCCUGACGCCCCUCCGGGAAAGCCGCCGCCGCCGGGGAGGGGCGACCUCAGGGCUCCCACCGACGCCAUCUCCCCGAGACCCAACACAAGGGGCAACGCACUGCGGACCCCUUCAUCACUGUUCCCCCAAGCAGAUCCCACCGUUACUUCCCCCCUACGAGGUCCCUCCCAUAUAUUCCUGCUCUUUCCCCCAAAUCGAUGCUCUCAGGCACCCCUGGCGCCCGCUCAGGUCCCGCCCCCCAACCCCGCACAUGGGAACUCGACCAUUAUUCUCUCUUCUGAAAGAUCCCUCCAAAAACUCCCCAGUGAGGGAUCCCGCCACACGCCACGGCGACCCGCUGAGAACGCCCCCAUCCCCGACCCCACGAGCCUGCACCAUGGCAUCGCCAACCCAGGCGCCAGCUCUGAGACCCCACACAGGGACUCGGACACGCGCAGGGGCGGCCCUCGAGGGCUGCUCCAGACACCCCGCCCGCCCUGCAUCGGGAGAUCAGGCCCCCGCUCAGGCGCUGGCUGCCCCCGCAAAAGACUGCUUUCCCGGAGACCCCACACAGGACUCCUCCGUCACACAGGAGGCGACCUUAGGAGUCCCUCCCCAGACGGAGACCCCACACGCGGAGGGCUUCCCUGCAGACCAUCCAUCCUCAGAGCCACCCCCACAGCCCCUCAUGCACCCAGAAGGACCCCCACCCCCAGAAGCAGCUCCGGGGCCCCACUCACUGCACCCCGCCCCGGGACGACCUCGAGGCGCCCCUCCUCCGCAAGGAAAAUGAGGAGGAGGGGAGAGUGCGGCAGAACCCCGCCCCGGAGUACGCCCGCGCCUUCCCCCACCACGAGGAAGGUGCCCCUCCGCCCCCCUCUCCGCCCCUGUGCCGCUCCCGGCCCUGAGCGGGGAGGAUCUGCCAGGACAGGAUCCCGGCGCGGGCUCAGCAGUCCGUUAGGAGGGUCUACGAAUAGAAUGAGCCCCUUCCCCAGCCAUAUCUCGCCUGAUUUGAAGGACGCUGUUAUUAUUUACAUUGCCCAGAAAGGAAACUGA
rnacentral:lncRNA from 1 species